GCAUAUCAAUAAGCGGAGGAAAAGAAACCAACAGGGAUUGCCCUAGUAACGGCGAGUGAAGCGGCAAUAGCUCAAAUUUGAAAGCUGGCCUUCUGGUCCGCAUUUGUAAUUUGUAGAGGAUGCUUUUAGGCAGCCGCCGGUCUAAGUUCCUUGGAACAGGACGUCAUAGAGGGUGAGAAUCCCGUAUGUGACCGGCUCUGGCACCUUAUGUAAAGCUCCUUCGACGAGUCGAGUUGUUUGGGAAUGCAGCUCUAAAUGGGAGGUAAAUUUCUUCUAAAGCUAAAUACCGGCGAGAGACCGAUAGCGCACAAGUAGAGUGAUCGAAAGAUGAAAAGCACUUUGGAAAGAGAGUUAAAAAGCACGUGAAAUUGUUGAAAGGGAAGCGCUUGCAAUCAGACUUGGACUUGGCUGUUCAACCGGUCUUCUGACCGGCCCACUCAGUCUUGUCCAGGCCAGCAUCAGUUUCGGCGGCCGGAUAAAGGCCUUGGGAAUGUGGCUGUCUCUUCGGGGACAGUGUUAUAGCCCAGGGUGUAAUACGGCCAGCCGGGACUGAGGUCCGCGCUUCGGCUAGGAUGCUGGCGUAAUGGUUGUAAGCGGCCCGUCUUGAAACACGGACCAAGGAGUCUAACAUCUAUGCGAGUGUUAGGGUGUCAAACCCUUACGCGUAAUGAAAGUGAACGGAGGUGGGAACCCGCAAGGGUGCACCAUCGACCGAUCCUGAUGUCUUCGGAUGGAUUUGAGUAAGAGCAUAGCUGUUGGGACCCGAAAGAUGGUGAACUAUGCCUGAAUAGGGUGAAGCCAGAGGAAACUCUGGUGGAGGCUCGCAGCGGUUCUGACGUGCAAAUCGAUCGUCAAAUUUGGGUAUAGGGGGCGAAAGACUAAUCGAACCAUCUAGUAGCUGGUUCCUGCGA
rnacentral:rRNA from 1 species